rnacentral:lncRNA from 1 species
GAACAUAAGUCGUAUAGUACAGUUGCAAUGUUGUCAGAUCUAUGAGUUUUAACUAAAUAUACCUUUUUCGUACGUAAUGGUUGGGCUGAAAAGUUCGUAGGGUAACAGUUUUCUGGAUAAUCUGCAAAAAAACAUGAGAACAACAAGAUAACCGCAACAAGACACCGAACAACCAACACCUUCAGGCCUGAUGGCCACAACAUCUACAUCUACAAGCCCCAGAGCCCGUUGCAGAACCAACAGCAAGAGACCAAGAACCCGCAGACAGAUACCAAGUGCCAUC